GACGAACGCUGGCGGCGUGCUUAACACAUGCAAGUCGAACGGUAAGGCCCCUUCGGGGGUACACGAGUGGCGAACGGGUGAGUAACACGUGAGCAACCUGCCCUUGACUCUGGAAUAACAGUUGGAAACAGCUGCUAAUACCGGUUAUGACCUGUCACCGCAUGGUGGUGGGUGGAAAGUUCCGGCGGUCAGGGAUGGGCUCGCGGCCUAUCAGCUUGUUGGUGAGGUAACGGCUCACCAAGGCUUCGACGGGUAGCCGGCCUGAGAGGGCGACCGGCCACACUGGGACUGAGAUACGGCCCAGACUCCUACGGGAGGCAGCAGUGGGGAAUAUUGCACAAUGGGCGAAAGCCUGAUGCAGCAACGCCGCGUGCGGGAUGACGGCC
rnacentral:rRNA from 1 species